rnacentral:rRNA from 1 species
GAUGAACGCUAGCGGCAGGCUUAACACAUGCAAGUCGAGGGGUAUAGUAGCAAUACUAGAGACCGGCGCACGGGUGCGUAACGCGUAUGCAACCUACCUUUUACAGAGGGAUAGCCCCAGAGAAAUUUGGAUUAAUACCUCAUAGUGUUAUUAGAUGGCAUCAUUUGAUAACUAAAGUUCCAACGGUAAAGAUGGGCAUGCGUCCUAUUAGCUAGAUGGUAAGGUAACGGCUUACCAUGGCUACGAUAGGUAGGGGUCCUGAGAGGGAGAUCCCCCACACUGGUACUGAGACACGGACCAGACUCCUACGGGAGGCAGCAGUGAGGAAUAUUGGACAAUGGGCGAAAGCCUGAUCCAGCAAUGCCGCGUGAGUGAUGAAGGCCUUAGGGUUGUAAAGCUCUUUUACCCGAGAUGAUAAUGACAGUAUCGGGAGAAUAAGCUCCGGCUAAACUCCGUGCCAGCAGUCCGCGGUAAUGUGACUACU